CGUAGGUGAACCUGCGGAAGGAUCAUUAACAAAUCCUAGCCGUUGUUGCCUCGGUGUGGCGCAACGGUGAAACACCGUGCACUGGCAGCUGAAGAUGGGGGAGUCCGUCAGAGGUGUGCUGCCGGCAUUAAAUUGGAUGCUGCACUCAAAUCGGUGGGAAUCAGUGUUGCACCGCCCGCCGGGCCUCAAAGGCACAUCUCUCAUCUUUGGUUUUUCUUGUGACCUUUUUCGUACUUAGUGUUAUUUUGGUGUAAUGCGUUGGUUGGAAAAUUUUGACAACUUCUGACGGUGGAUCUCUUGGCUCGUGCAUCGAUGAAGAACGCAGCAAGCUGCGAUACCUAGUGUGAAUUGCAGAAUUCAGUGAAUCAUCGAGUCUUUGAACGCAAAUGGCGCUCCCGGGGUCUCCUCGGGAGCAGGUCUGUCCGAGCGUCUGCCACCUGAAAGUGUUGUCGUCCACGCGACGACAAGAUUGAGGAGAUGCAUCGCCGACCCGCCCGGGUCAUGUUGCACUCCUUGAAGAAUACACGGCAUUGCGGACGGUGCACCGUGACCGAGCUCCGGUGAGACAAUCGUCGCAACGGCAUAAACGGUUGCGUCAUUGCAUCUCAUCGGUGCCGGCUCCGGUCCACGGCCGCAAACCAUCUCAGGAAUG
rnacentral:misc_RNA from 1 species